rnacentral:rRNA from 1 species
GGGUAGGGCGGCCGGUCGGUCCCGCAAGGGAUUCGCACAUGCGCUUGUCCUAACCAUCUUUGGGAAGAUCGUGUUCGGCGUUCACGCGUCGGGCAUGGGAAUCCCAUCCUUUACUGUGAGCAAAUUAGAGUGUUCAAAGCAGGCGAUCGCCGGUGAAUACAUUAGCAUGGAAUAAUAAGAUAAGACCUCGGGCGGUCUAUUUUGUUGGUUUGCACGCCUAGGUA